AUACGUAGGUGGCAAGCGUUGUCCGGAAUUAUUGGGCGUAAAGCGCAUGUAGGCGGUGCCUUAAGUCUGUCGUGAAACUGCGGGGCCUAACCCCGUAUGGCGAUGGAAACUGUGGCACUUGAGUGCAGGAGAGGAAAGGGGAACUCCCAGUGUAGCGGUGAAAUGCGUGGGAAUUGGGAGGAACACCGGUGGCGCAGGCGCCUUUCUGGGAGGAUGCAGGCGCUGAGAUGCGAAAGCCAGGGUAGCGAACGGGAUUAGAUACCCCGAUAGUCCUGGCAGUAAACGAGGGGUACUAGGUGUGGGAGGUAUCGACCCCUUCCGUGCCGGAGUUAACGCAAUAAGUACCCCGCCUGGGGAGUACGGCCGCAAGGCUUAAACUCAAAGGAAUUGACGGGG
rnacentral:rRNA from 1 species